UGCGUAGGCGGGUCUUUAAGUCAGGGGUGAAAUCCUGGAGCUCAACUCCAGAACUGCCUUUGAUACUGAAGAUCUUGAGUUCGGGAGAGGUGAGUGGAACUGCGAGUGUAGAGGUGAAAUUCGUAGAUAUUCACAAGAACACCAGUGGCGAAGGCGGCUCACUGGCCCGAUACUGACGCUGAGGCAAGACGUGGGGAGGCAACA
rnacentral:rRNA from 1 species